GAUUGGUGGUCAUUGGGUGUUGUGGGAUACGAAAUGAGAUCUGGCUGCAGGCCUUUUAUCGUUCACUCAAAUAAACCACUAGCUGAAGUAAAACAUAUCCCGCUUUAUCCUCUGCAUUAUCCAAGGCAUUGGAAUAGCAGUUUAGUUGACCUGCUUACUAAGGUCUAAAUCCAGGCAUGUAGCGCCAAAUGUUAAGCUGCCACUAAAGGACUAGACAUGCGCUCUUAGUUGGCUGAAACAGCUACUACUGCUGCCGCUGAGGCUUAUAUAGACGACGCAUGCAGAUGAAUUAACUAUAUCGAACCGGCUCAGAGAGUAAAGCAUAUAAAUGACGACGGUAGUCGGAAAUCAUUGAAUUCCAGGCAAUUUUGGUAAACUUAAAGACUGGCCGAAGAAGAUGAAUUCCAUAUAUUCAUAAUGCCAACUUCCACAAAAUUACCCUUAAGUUGUUCCAACAACAAUGGCAACCUUCAACGACGGAAAUCCUCCGAUCGGAGAGCCCAAGAUUUUUGUAUUCAUAAGAUCGACAUAUGUACGAGCUCUGUUUCAAUAAUUCUUUAAUUAUAAUCGAAUCAAUCAUAGGCCUGAAAGCUCAUGAUGGCAGGACUACUUUAAACAGUCGAUUUGAAUCUGCCGUUCAAUUGAUUCGACGACAUAGUUCUUCGUGGUGAAAGUAGUUAUUAAAUAAAGUCUUAUUUUUAUGUUUUAAAUUUGUAUGUAAUUUAGCAUAGUUUUCGUUUUUUAAAUUCA